AAGUUUAGCCUCAUUUACAUAUAUUUUAAAACACGUAAUUAAAGGCAAUACGAUGCACAUUUUGUGGGUUAAAUGCAACUGUAUAUAAACAACUUGAUUUAAAAAUUAAAUCAUAGUUUGAUUUAGACUGUUCUAAACAAAACAACCAAUAAAAAUGUUCAAAUCACUGGUAGUCCUUGCUAUUUUGGCAAUUGCUUUUGUAGCAGCUAAACCAGAUCCAUCUCCUGCGAUCUACGCACCUGCUGCUUAUCCCUACGCAUAUUCUGCCCCAUACGCUGGAUACUCUUUCGGAGGUUUCCCAUCACUUAGCUACACUGCUAAAUUUUAUGGAUAUUAUUAAAUUGUAGAAAAAUAUAAUAAAAUUUGCACUAUUUCAA